GACGAACGCUGGCGGCGUGCUUAACACAUGCAAGUCGAGCGAGGCCCUUCCUUCGGGAAGGUGUCCUAGCGGCGAACGGGUGAGUAACACGUGGGCAACCUGCCCUCAGCUCUGGGGAUAACUCCGGGAAACCGGGGCUAAUACCGGAUACGACUUCACCAGGCAUCUUGUGAAAGUGGAAAGUUUUUCGGCUGAGGAUGGGCCCGCGGCCUAUCAGCUAGUUGGUGGGGUGACGGCCUACCAAGGCGACGACGGGUAGCCGGCCUGAGAGGGUGACCGGCCACACUGGGACUGAGACACGGCCCAGACUCCUACGGGAGGCAGC
rnacentral:rRNA from 1 species